rnacentral:tRNA from 1 species
AUAUGUUCKGGGACGGAAGGAUUC